rnacentral:rRNA from 1 species
AGCCAUGCAUGUCUAAGUAUAAGCAAUUAUACAGCGAAACUGCGAAUGGCUCAUUAAAUCAGUUAUCGUUUAUUUGAUAGUACCUUACUACAUGGAUAACCGUGGUAAUUCUAGAGCUAAUACAUGCUAAAAACCCCGACUUCGGAAGGGGUGUAUUUAUUAGAUUAAAAACCAAUGCCCUUCGGGGCUCACUGGUGAUUCAUGAUAACUUCUCGAAUCGCACGGCCUUGCGCCGGCGAUGGUUCAUUCAAAUUUCUGCCCUAUCAACUUUCGACGGCUGGGUCUUGGCCAGCCGUGGUGACAACGGGUAACGGAGGGUUAGGGCUCGACCCCGGAGAAAACGCCUGAGAAACGGCGUUUACAUCCAAGGAAGGCAGCAGGCGCGCAAAUUACCCAAUGCCGACACGGCGAGGUAGUGACGAGAAAUACUGAUACAGGGCUCUUUUGGGUCUUGUAAUUGGAAUGAGUACAAUUUAAAUCUCUUAACGAGGAACAAUUGGAGGGCAAGUCUGGUGCCAGCAGCCGCGGUAAUUCCAGCUCCAAUAGCGUAUAUUAAAGUUGUUGCAGUUAAAAA